rnacentral:lncRNA from 1 species
CCAGCCCAAACAAUAUGUCAGCCAUUUAAGAUCUCUCAAACUAAGGCCUUAAGUCACCUAGGACCAAACUCGGUCCUAAACAAAAACAGACACCCCGUAUAGCUUCAACCCAUGAACUGGGUCGACUCAACAGAAACUAAGUCAACUCACUCUACCACUUAGUCGACUCACACUAGGACUAAGUUGACUAAGAUCCCUACAGUGCACAGACUCC